rnacentral:rRNA from 1 species
CCUACGGGAGGCAGCAGUAGGGAAUAUUGCUCAAUGGGCGAAACCCUGAAGCAGCAACGUCGCGUGGAGGAUGAAGGUUCUAGGAUUUUAAACUCCUUUUUUUAGAGAAGUUAAUGACGGUAUCUCACGAAUAAGCACCGGCUAACUCCGUGCCAGCAGCCGCGGUAAUACGUAGGGUGCAAGCGUUACUCGGAUUCACUGGGCGUAAAGAGUGCGCAGGCUGGCUUGUAAGUCAGAUGUGAAAUCCUGUAGCUUAACUACAGAACUGCAUUUGAAACUGUGAGUCUCGAGUGUGGGAGAGGAAGGUGGAAUUCUUGGUGUAGGGGUAAAAUCCGUAGAUAUCAAGAGGAAUACUCAUUGCGAAGGCGACCUACUGGAACAUUACUGACGCUCAUGCACGAAAGCGUGGGGAGAAAACAGGAUUAGAUACCCCUGUAGUC